AUCGAACUCAUGACCCUUCAGUCUGCAGGCCGAUGUUCUAUCCACUGAGACAAACCAGCCAGGGCCAUUUCCCCCAUUUAUAACAACAGCCUGUUUUGAGACUUGAUUCAAGGGACUAAGUCGCAUUUUAGCCCCGCAAGCACCUGGCAGUGGAGUGAGGGGUGGAAUCCACCUGGCACAGAGUUGCCUGUCUCUAAGCUCGGGUGGGUGAAGGGGAUUGCAUUGUCAUCAGCGAUGGCCCGCAGGAGUUCCUGUGCUGCUAGGCUGUCCUUGAGUUUAAUGCAUCUCAAAUGAGAGUGACCAGGUCUUUCUGGACUAAGAAACUAGAGUUACAGUUGCUCUUCUUGGCCUUGUUUCCCUACUGGUAACACUUUUGUUCCCUUGAUCUCAUUUACUGUCCCAAGCCCUGCCCUUGUAUGCAAUAGGAAAUGUUUUACUAAGGUCGCAGCAUAGUCUGGACCUGUCUCUGCUCUGCCUGGGCUGGAGCCUUCGUGCCAGGGCUCGAGAGAUGAUUGGUGACUUCAGGGCGUUAGUUCCCGCCUCCCACAGAGCCUGCUGCCCGGUGCCCAGGCCCUGGUGGACCUGAGGCCUGACGCUCUCUCAUGCUCGGCAGGUGGGGAAGGGCUGCUGUGCUGCUCUCAAGGCCCUCGGAGCCAUCGUCUACAUCACAGAGAUCGACCCCAUCUGCGCUCUGCAGGCCUGCAUGGACGGGUUCCGGGUGGUAAAGCUCAGUGAAGUCAUCCGGCAGGUGGACGUGGUGAUCACCUGCACAGG